UACGGAGGGUGCAAGCGUUAUCCGGAUUCACUGGGUUUAAAGGGUGCGUAGGCGGGCAGGUAAGUCCGUGGUGAAAUCCCCGAGCUUAACUCGGGAACUGCCAUGGAUACUAUUUGUCUUGAAUAUUGUGGAGGUAAGCGGAAUAUGUCAUGUAGCGGUGAAAUGCUUAGAUAUGACAUAGAACACCAAUUGCGAAGGCAGCUCACUACACAAUUAUUGACGCUGAGGCACGAAAGCGUGGGGAUCAAACAGG
rnacentral:rRNA from 1 species